CAGAGGGGGCAAGCGUUGUUCGGAAUUACUGGGCGUAAAAGGCGCGUAGGCGGCCUGUUAAGUCGAACGUGAAAUCCCCGGGCUCAACCCGGGAACUGCGUCCGAUACUGGUAGGCUUGAAUUCGGGAGAGGGAUGUGGAAUUCCAGGUGUAGCGGUGAAAUGCGUAGAUAUCUGGAGGAACACCGGUGGCGAAGGCGGCAUCCUGGACCGAUAUUGACGCUGAUGCGCGAAAGCCAGGGGAGCAAACGGGAUUAGAUACCCCGGUAGUCCUGGCCCUAAACGAUGAAUGCUUGGUGUGGCGGGUAUCGAUCCCUGCCGUGCCGAAGCUAACGCAUUAAGCAUUCCGCCUGGGGAGUACGGUCGCAAGGCUG
rnacentral:rRNA from 1 species